AUGGAAGAGGUGUCUCAAGGUCAAAGGUGUGAGGGCCUCCAGGGUGAGCACAGAGGGGCGCCUCAAGGUCAAAGCGAAAGUCGCCUCAAAUGCGGGAGAAAGGAGGCCCUCCCAGAGCCGAGGGCAGAUUCUCCCCGGGGUUCGGAAGAGAAGAUCCUCCAGUCUCCCGAGGGCAGAGACUGUAUCCCACCUGCCUGGGAAGCGGCUCGGGGAGAGGGGCCCCGGGAGAAAAGCGGCUCCCCGGGGGACUUCCGCAGGUCCCUGGGGGAACGGAUGGGGCAGCCUGGGGGAAGGGCGGGCCCAGGGCCCCGGGGAAGGACCACCCAGCUGAUGCAGGUUAAGACCGACGGCCUGAGAGGAAACAGCGCACCGGCCCUGGGAGCGCAGGGGCCCCUCCGGGAAGGGUUGCGGGCUCCGCUUCCGCUCGCUGGGCCCCCGACCCGGCCACUGCUCCCAGGCCCAGGAGCGGUGAUGCUAGCGGCCCCAUGCACUGGGGGCUCCGGGCAGCGGGAACGGCCCGCUGCUCUCCCAGGGCACCUGGGCCCGCUGAGCGAUCCACACUCGCUUCAGGGCCCAGGGGGAAGCCCUGGCCCCGCGGAGCAUGAGCUGGGCGGCUCCACGGGGCUUCCGGGCGCCUUCGGGAGACCGAGGGGUGCUGCGGAGGCCCCCAGAACCUCGAAGACCGCCUGGCCCGAGCCCCUGAGCAGAGACCGGGCGUCGGCGAGCGUGAGCGCCGCGCAGCAGGCGUCGGCUCUGCAGCGGCUGCUGGAGCUGAACCGCGAGGCCAGGCGCCGGCGGCAGCGGGACCGCGAGCAGCAGCGGCUCCGGGUGCGCGGCCGGGCCAGGCGGGCGGGGCCCAGAGGGGCGGCCUCUGGGCCGCUGACAGUCGCCUCCUGCAGGUCCUGGAGCGCCUCCGCAUCGCCAGGAACCGCCAUUGCCGGGUGCACCCCUUGGAACCCCCACCGAGCCCAGCUCAGCUCCCACCACAGGCAAGACCCCUAG
rnacentral:lncRNA from 1 species